rnacentral:rRNA from 1 species
AGAGUUUGAUCAUGGCUCAGAACGAACGCUGGCGGCAGGCUUAACACAUGCAAGUCGAACGCCCGAGCAAUCGGGAGUGGCAGACGGGUGAGUAACACGUGGGAACAUACCCUUUGGUUCGGAACAACGCCGGGAAACUGGCGCUAAUACCGGAUACGCCCUUUGAGGGAAAGGCUUGCCGCCGAAGGAGUGGCCCGCGUUCGAUUAGCUAGAUGGCGGGGUAACGGCCCACCAUGGCGGCGAUCGAUAGCUGGUCUGAGAGGAUGGCCAGCCACAUUGGGACUGAGACACGGCCCAAACUCCUACGGGAGGCAGC